AACUUUUCUUUAACAAAAUAUAUGGAACCUGUUGGUAUUCUAUAAAUUAGAAUAAAUGAAAAUUAAUUAUGUACAAAUAUUGACUGCCACGAAAAAACGUUGCAAUGGUGUAAGUGGGGUUUAAACAUAUUGAAUAAUAAAUUAAUCAAACGGUCAAUCUAUAUUUGAAUGUAACAUCAUUAACAUAUUUUAAAAAUAAAUCGAGACA
rnacentral:lncRNA from 1 species